AGGAUUAACGCUGGCGGCGUGCCUAACACAUGCAAGUCGAACGAGGUAGCAAUACCUAGUGGCAGACGGGUGAGUAGCGCGUGGUCAACCUACCGUUGAGUGGGGGAUAACUAGCCGAAAGGUUAGCUAAUACCGCAUACGUCUCCGAGGGGCAUCCCUUGGCGAUAAAAGGAGCAAUCCGCUCGAUGACGGGACCGCGUCCCAUUAGCUAGUUGGUGGGGUAACGGCCUACCAAGGCAUCGAUGGGUAGCUGGUUUGAGAGAGCGACCAGCCACACUGGGACUGAGAUACGGCCCAGACUCCUACGGGAGGCAGCAGUGAGGAAUUUUCCGCAAUGGGCGAAAGCCUGACGGAGCGACGCCGCGUGUGGGAAGAAGGCCUUCGGGUCGUAACCACUGUCGAAGGGGAAGAUAAUGACGGUACCCUUGGAGGAAGCCCGGCUAACUACGCGCCAGCAGCCGC
rnacentral:rRNA from 1 species